rnacentral:lncRNA from 1 species
AAAAUAAUAUUGUUAAUGUUUUUUGCUUAUACAAAUAUUUUUUAAUUAAUGUUAUAAAACAAUUUUAUUGUUUGGAAGGAUUUUUUUUCUUUAAAAGUUUUUUAAAGUAAUUUCUUUUUCUUUAUAAGUUAGAAAGCAUAUUCCUUUUAUGCAAUGUGGGACAUGUGUUUAUCUUUAUCAGGCUCUCGGUGGUCAAUGAUAUAUUAAUACAAGUAACUCUUGCAUUUAGUGCCAUAAAUAGGUUAGGCAGGAUCUAGGCAUGCUUGACCUUGACCCCACUCGGCUUCAUGUUCCAUUUUUGAUGUAGGAUCCAAACCUAACAUAAUAGAUGAUCUAGUCAGAUCCAUAAAAAAACAUUAAAGUCUUUGACAAAUAUUUGGAAAAAAAGGAUAAAAUAGAAUAUCGGGUGAGAAAAAUAGUUCUAAAAAAUCUUAAUUAUGUUAUAUAUAACACUGAUUGAUACUUGAAAUAAUAUAAAGAUGUGAAACUGGCAUAGGUUUGAACUUUCUUGCUUACAAAUAAGAGAAAAAACAACCGAUAAUCAAGAAAAGGGAAAGAAAGAAACAAGCUUAUGAAAAACACUUACAUGCUUUAUUAGGGUUUGCUUCAUCCAUUGGGUAUGAUAACAAGCAACAUAACAAAUUUUGAUGUCAUACUAUUAAUAAACCGCUCAAGAUGACGUAACAAAGCAAAUGAAAAGAAACCCACCUUGAUGAAAGAUCACAAUGGUCUUAAUUAAAGAAGGGACUAAAAAUAGAUUAAGAAGCUUGAAGAGAAAGAGUAAGUAAAUGCAAGGUUUAGGGAUGGAAGGAUAGAUAUUAUUAUAAAGAUAAAAAACUUCAAAUUAAAAGUGGUGGUAGGCACUGGAGAAGCGACCUUGGACCGAUGUGGAUGGCAGCAAUAUAUGGAGGGUAACAACGUCUAAUGAGGUGGACGAAAAAAUAGAGUGAGGGGCGAUCAUUGCUAUUAUGCUCGGCUACUCUUUUAGCCAUUUCUUGAGCUGUUGCUCUUUCACUAGAAAGCUCCUUCUUGGAUUGUAAGAAGAAAGAAUUAUGUGAAGGAGAAUCACAUGGAGGAGGCCGAUGUCGUCAGAUAGCUGGAUUUAAGUUGAAAGAAUGACAGAUUUUAAGGAUGCGGGGAACAUAGGGUUCAAAUUAGGAAAAGGAAGAAAGAGCUAGAGCUUUCAGGAGUCGAGAUUUGGGGGUGGGUAUUGAGGGUGAGACUGGCUCACUUGCCUCCUCUUUAUUUCAUGGAUAAACAUAUCGAAUGGAUUUGGAUCGUGUCAGGUCAAAUAAUUGAUAGGGAGAUCCAAUUUAGAUCCACAUAAUAUAUGUAUUGCGUCUUGUUAGGUCAGGGCAAAGUUUAUAAUAUCUAGAUCCAACUCAAAAUUUGGAACAGGUCAAAAUUUUCAAUCCAACUCAGCCCUACAAAUCCUCGAGAAUAGGUUAGAUCAAGUAUAAAUGUGUUGGAUUGGAUCAAUCAAGUCUCGAGUCGACCCAACCCAUUGUAACACUAUUUGUGUUAAUCAUUGCUUAUAAGUAUCCUGCUAGCCAAAAAAAGGGCUUAAUGAACAUGAUUAUCAUGUUUUGUAAUGUUGGGCAAUAAUCUAAUUUUAAGUGAAUAAUGCAGUAAAAAAUUGAUGUUUCAAACAUCUAUAAGCUAUUUUACCAAAUCUAUAAGCUAUCCUUGGAAAAAGUCUUGUUAGAUUACACCAAGCUUAUCCACCAAAAGUUUGUUAUAUGAUCUUUAAAUAAGAUAGAGUCUAUAAGACUAUAUAUUUCAAUAAGAAAAAUUUUUAGCUGCCUGAUAUGUAGUACAAAAGUUUGGCAACUCAUGUUGUUACCUAGCUCCUAAAUGAGAAAGUGUUCUUAGAUUUAUUUAGAUACUUGGCAUAAAUUGAGAUAUAUGAUACUCAAGGUAGUAUCUUAAUAAUCAGAGGAUAUAACGUUAUAAAUAGCUUAAUGAGUUUGUUAAACAAAGUGAAAUAUUUGGAAAGGGAGGAGAGCAACAAUUUUUAAGAAAACCCAUAUAUCUUAAGUUUUUGACUUAUUUAAGAGGCUUUUUCUCUCCCCUUGGAGAGAGAGACAGAUGCAAAUCAAUUAGCCCAAAAGUGAAGCUUUAUAUUGCUCCAGCUAGGUAGUGAUGGUAGCUCUAUAUAGAAAAUGUCAAAUAUCGAUCUUUGGCUCAAGCCCAUCCCAUACUAUGUAUUUAUCUCUUAAUAGAUGAAGGCAUAUACUCCUCUUAGAUCUAAAAUGAAUAAUUGAGUAUUUAAAUCGAAGAUCUACAUAAUUGAUCGGGAUUUAUAUCACUAAACAUAUCUGAGUGCAAAACAUUAUGUAUUUUGAUGGCCUUCGACCUAUACAUCUAGACAUGUAAAUGAAAUAUUUUUAUUAUGUCAAUAUGCUAAAGUAUAUGAUGCAACUUUUAUAUUGAGAAUUUACUUUAUUGAUCAUGAUCUACAAUGCUAAAACAUGUAUAGAUUGAAAGUAGUAGAGUUCAAUGCUUAAAUCAUAUCAUUUUCAUGGGACAUUAUUAGAUCCACUUAAUGCAUAGGUUAAAGAAGUGUAGAACACUAAAAUAUAUGACUUUUGAUAUCUAGGUAUCUUUAGUAAUAUAUAUAGACUAUGCUCCUCUCAAGGAGAAAAAAAAGUUAUUUGCUUGCUCGUGUUUGCUGCGACAAGGGCUCGGUCUGGUCCGUCACGUGAGGUAUUGUCCGUUCUGAUUCAUGAACUUCACGGUUUUGUUUUUUAAAAGGUAUCCCCUUGACUCAAGAGCUUGGUCCGUCAUAUGAGGUAUUGGCCGUUCUAGUCCAUGGGCCUCACGAUUUUAC